UCUUCACCUCAUCUUCCUCUCUGGCAGCAGCACACACACAUAUAUAAAAACCCUAGUUUCGUCCUCUCUCAAUUCCGGCAGAAUUGCCGCCGAAAUGCCGCUGCUUCCUGGAGCUCGUCCGUCGUGCCGUCGACCACCGCCGACGUCUUCUCCGCUUCGACGGAACAAGGCAGCAGCAGAAGAAAUCGAGCCUUCUCUUCUGAAGAAUCGCUGCGACUUGUGUCGUCGUCGGUGUCUUCUCUCUCUCUACCUCGACGACAAGGUGGCGACAGUAGCUGCCACGCCUCUCUCACCCUGCUCACCGCUUACUCUACUCCGUCGAGUUUUAAUCGACUCGGUCUCAAGCGGGGAUACGCCACUUAAAGGAAAGGGAAGGAAGCCCUAAUUUCGCCACCUCUAUCAUCUGCUAUCCCUAGGCGCCGCUACUGCACCGCCUGCCACGUCGCGCCGCCCUUCUUGUCUGCUAACCCUAGCCACCGCGACCAGCGCCGCCUGCUCGUCAUCGCCUCUCUCGUCUGCUAACCCUAGCCACCGCGACCAGCGCCACCUGCUCGUCGCCGCCCCUCUCGUCUGCUUACCCUAGCCACCGCGACCAGCGCCGCCUACUCGCCGCGCCCCUCUCAUUGUAUGUACAAUUUUCUAUUUUUGCACAUUAGUUUGUUCGAUUUUGUGUUUGAUUGCAUUGACAAAGUAAAUCUCUCGUUGUUGUAGGACAUGGAAUAUGGGUUGAGGUUAAUUGUUGCCUCUAAUUCAUGGAUUUUGCACUGAGUUUAUUUUGUUUUAUUUUAGAUUUGCUAUCUGUUUAGAAGAGAUUUAGUGUUUCUAAGGUUAGUUUUGCUUCUCGCUCCAUUGCUAUCAUCAGAGGUUAUCAAUUCUAGCUCUUCCCCUUCUACUAGAAAGCUGACUCACAGUCUCACAUUUUUGUGCUUUUUAGAUUCUGUUUAAAGUGAGCUCUGUUUUUCUAUUGCAGAUUGAUUCCAUUUGCAUCUUACUUGAUGCUCGUAUAGUUGGGACUUUGGUGCAAUUUAUUUCUUCUUUCAUGUUCCUUAAGUUUGUUCCUAGCAAACACAUGGUAACAGUUUUGUGAUCUGGUGAGUACUUAGAUUUGCUCGUUUCUCGCUCACGGCUUAUCUGUGGUAUCUAUCUAUUGCUGAUUGAAAUCAAAGUGUUUGAAUCAUAAUGUUAUAAGAUUAUUGUAUUACAUGAAAAGAGGCAGGAACUUUUUGUUUUCUACUUGCUCGAUUCUCGCUCACAGCUUAUCUGUGGUAUCUAUCUAUUGCUGAUUCAAUUUCAAAUAGGAAUUAUGUAUGUCCAGUUAUUUUGUGAGCUUGACAUUUUCAUGUUUUAAUAGGUUUAAUCUCCUUAGUUAAUUUAAUAGUAUUAGAUAGAAUGUUACUUGAGCUUUUGAAAGAUCCGUGUAAUUGACACUUACCCCUCUUAUGUUCAACAACACUUUUGAGCCAUCAGAGGUUGGUAUGUUGGCCAGGUGCUUGUGCGCGCCGCUGGUUUCUAUCCGAGUCAGAAAGAUCAACAAGCAAGGAACAUUUCUGUCUUUAACCUCUGUAAGGUGCAGGUCCCUUCAACAAUUGGUGAUUUUGGUAAUCUGACAGUCGGCUUUCCUACAUCUACUGGAACCAGAGAAAUCAUGAGGCUUUUUGUUUUGAGCUGCGGCACCUGCCAUUAUAUCAACACAAACCAAAUCAACCUGUGAGAUAGGUAUCCAUUCUAAAAUCUUGAAUGCAUCGCUAAUAUCUUUAGUAUCAUCAUGUGUAUGAAAGAUGCCCAUUUUAGUACAGGCGGCGUUUUACCGCAGGCACACGAUAUUUCAAACACAUAUAGUUAAAUUUGUUCGCAGAGAGGAAUGACAGCAUAAUCAACAUUCUUUAAGAUCGUCUCCGAAAUAAAAAUUUUGUAAGUUAUUAUUAAAAUUUGAUAGACAGCACUACCAAUGGUGACUUGACGUACCUGUGUUGCCUGAAACUGCAUUUUGAAGACUGCUUUGAUCUUUUUCUCGCUUCGCUUGAACAUCUUUCCUGGAUAUUAUGCAUCAAAAUUUCUGGGCUCUUUGUGAGGGAGGAGCUGCAGUCCUUAUCUAGGUGCCAGUUAAUAGUCUAAAUGAUUUGGUGGUUAGAUAAAGAGCCAAAACUAAAUUAUCAAAAGCCCUUGUUUUUUAUAUGCUGCAAAGAAGUUACAAUAAGUGGCUGUCAUGAAUCAGGAGCUCUGAAUUAGUUAAUGUUUUUUUCUACUUUCUUGGUUAAUGGAUUAACUAUGUGUUUGUGUGUGUCUGCGUGUGUUUGUGCGUGAGAGAGAGAGAGAGAGAGAGUGA